GAGAAGCUGAUUGGAUUUGGAGCUGAUGGAGCCGCAGUUAAUAUGGGGCACCAGAGAGGAGUUAUUUCUCUUUUAAAAAGAGAAAUUGGGGAUCAUGUGAUUCCUUUUCACUGCAUGGCUCACAGAUUAGAGCUUGCAGUCCUUACCCUCCAGAAAAAGGAGCCUAUGGUGGCCAAGGUGUAUGAGUUGCUGCACCUUGUGUGGAAGACCUACCACUACAGCCCGAAGUCACGGAGAGAGUUGCAGUCCGUUUGUAACCCAUCGAGUGUGAAAGGAAUACGCUGGGUUCCACAUAUUCAGCGAGCCUUGCAUGUUCUGCUCAAGCCAUCCAAGACAGGGGCUCUUGCUGAGGACGGUGGCCAGUAUGCAGCCACAUUGCAACACAUGGACCACCUUGCUGCCUCUGCUACCUCUGCUGAUGUGCAAGGGAGGGCAAGAAAAGGAAUGGAGCUGAAAGGAGAUGGUGCCAACCUUGCAUUGAACAGCAAACAUGUUAUAACAGCUGUGGAUAUAGCUGUUUGAGAACUCAAGUCUCGCUUUAGCUGUUUGCUCAGUGGAUCUGAAGAUCAAGCCUCCAAUGCAGUCAAAUGCUUCAGGGUGUUCAACCACGAUGCCCCCAUAUCACAUUUAUUUUCAUAGAGGAGGGUGCAACGCUAACAAAGUGCAGGAGGAGUGGCAGAAUCUGAAGGUCCUUGUUGCCAGCACCUUCAGCGACAAGAACUACCUAGCUCUGUGGUAGACUCUUCUGACAAAAGAGCCAUACAAACAUGACUUUGAGGUAUGUCAAUAAUAAUAUCUCUAGAAUUAGUUUAAUAUAUUCAAACAGAACUUACAUAUAGUUGCUGUUUUACAGAACAUCCUGCACUUGGUUGCAAUCAUGCUGCUGCUUCCAAUCUCCUCUGCCCAAUGUGAGAGAGGUUUCUCCGCCCAGAAUAGAAUUAAAAAUUCUGUCCGGAGCAGUCUUCAUGUCUCCGCCACAGAAGAUCUCAUGCGGAUCAGCACUGAGGGAGGUCCAUUGGAAACAUUCGACCCAACAAAUUCUGCAAUCCAUUGGCUUUCCUCAUCUAAACAUUCCAGGCGGCCAAACUAUAAGGAGUGGCCACAGUUUGUGUCUCAAGUUUAAGAACAAGAUCUCAUUCAGAUCAGCACGGACUGAUGUGCAGCGUACAGCCCUGAUAGGUAACUUGGAAGAACACUCAAUUAUACAGGCUUUGGAUGAACAAGUGUAGAAUAGCCUGUGCGGCUGCCUGAUUAUAAGAGGACUGAUUAGGCUAAGUAUCGUUGCUACGUAAAAUAGGAAUUUAGAUGGAGCGUGUCAUAUUUUCUUUGCUUUUUCUUUACAAUCUAACUCCUUGUUUGCAGGCUACUUUAUUUUUUUGUGUGGGCUUAUCUCUGUCCUUAAUUUAAUUUUAAAGUCAAUUAUUUAAUUAAUGAGGAAUGAACUGACUUAAAUAUGAGACAGCAACAAUAUGGACAGCGCAGGCAUUUUUAUUUUUAUUUUUUAUUUUUAUUUUUAAAUUUCUCUUCCUGUCUUUUGUUCAGUUUUUUUAGUUUAUUUUUUACUUAUGUUAGCCUACUUUUGCCCUUUUUUAUCGCUGUUCUCCAUGAGCGUGUAUAAUUUAGGUUAGUGGCUCAGAUUGAAUUAACAUUAUUUGGUGAUGGGGUCGGGAGUGAGUGAGAGCUUUGACGUGGCUAUGUUCACAAGAAGAGGUGUGAAGAUUGGAGGUUUGCUCUCAUCAAGUGAACUAUUUCUCUCAGUAUCACGGAAUUUUGUUUUUUCUUUACCUACAUCUUUUCUAUAUGUAGGUGUUUAUUUUAUUCUUAUUUUAAGUGCACUGUUGGUGGGUGUGCAUGGGAUGAGAUGGGAGUUUUUGUGCGGAUGACCCAAAAUAUGGGACUUUGACCAAAUGUUUUGUGUUAUGAUAUUUGAAAAGCACAUGUCUGGGAUGGAUUUGAUAUUAUUCUUCAUGAGAUACACUCAUAUACACUGCACUUGUAGAGUAUGUAAGAAGUGCACAUAUUGAGUUCAAUUAAAUAUAUUACACUCAAUGUGAAAGGACUGAAUCAUAUGAUUAAGCGUAAGAAGGUACUUUCAUGGUUGAAGAAUGAACGAGUUAACAUAGCAUUACUACAGGAGACACACUUAAUUGAUAGGGAACAUGAAAAACUCAGGAGAGAAUGGGUUGGCCAGAUAUAUUUCUCAUCAUUUUCUUCAAAUAAAAGAGGAGUUGCUAUUCUAAUUAAUAAAAACACACCAUUUACUUUAGAUAAAUGCAUUAAAGACCAACAUGGCCGCUUUGUAAUUAUAACUGGGGUGUUAUGCGGGGAGCAAAUUACUAUUGGGUGUAUUUACGCUCCAAAUGUCUAUCAGUGUGAAUGUUAUUCAACAUUUUUGGCUGAAGCUUCUCCUCUCACAUCUUUAUAUACCAUUUUAGCAGGAGACUUCAAUUGUGUCAUGGAUCCUGAGAUAGAUCGCAAUCCUCCAGCCAUGAAAGUAUCUUCAAAAAUGACAAGGGCAAUGAAAGAGGUAUGCUCAGACUUAGACCUAUCUGAUACAUGGAGAGUUCUUCAUCCCACUGAAAGAGAUUUUACUUUCUUUUCAAACCCUCAUCAAAGUUUUUCCCUAAUAGAUUUUUUUAUACUUCAAGAAAAGUGCUAGAUAGAGUUGAGGAAUGCAGUAUAGGUGCUAGAUUACUUACUGAUCAUGCAGAUGUUUCUAUGAUAAUUAAACCUCCAUUCUCUCAGCCGUCUCCACGAUUCUGGCGGUUAAAUCCAUCUAUUUUAAGUUGUCCUUUCUUUGUGGAGUAUGUAGAGAAGCAAAUUGAACUUUUUCUAGCAACAAAUGAUAAUGAUGAUACAAAUCCCUCGACUCUCUGUGAAACACUGAAGGCCUACAUGAGGGGGGCUAUCGUUUCAUACUGUACAGCUAAGAAAAAAGAGUCGCUAAAGACUCAAGUCUAUCUUGAAAAACAACUACUAGAGCUUGAAAAACAACUCAAGAAUAAUCCAUCCAAAGUCUUACAUGAUGAAUUAGAGGUAACGAAAUCUAAAUAAUAAACCCGGACGACUGCUGGCACGCUUAGCCGCAGGGAGGCAGCAGUCUAACUCAAUUUAGUCAUUAAAAGAUGAUUCAGGAAAUAAUCAAUGAUACUAAAGACUUGGCAUUCCCAAACAUUUUAUAUUAUAACUGGGCCUGCCACAGUCGAACUAUAUAUGAAUGGGUUCACUGCUAUUAUAAAGGUGGACCAGAAUCUAUCGAAGCUUGGGAAUGUACCCCUCUGGAAUUACUGGGAGAACUCACAAGUAUAAAAAGACCUCCAGUUAGAGCAACAGAUAAUCCUGGACUUAGUAACUCAUUUAAGGUUUUUAAGGAAAUUGCUGACCAUACAGGCAGAAAGAAUGGAGUUUCUCAUCUAACCCCGCUUGUAAAUACUAGGAACUUUCCUCCAGGAAUUAGGAGCAGGAUAUUUCAGUCCUGGUUUGAUAGCGGUAUUAAAGUGAUAGGAGAUCUGUGUUAGGAUAAUGGUACUACAGGAGACACACUUAAUUGAUAGGGAACAUGAAAAACUCAGGAGAGAAUGGGUUCAGUAUGGACUGAACUUGGUUAAAAAUGAAAGUGGGAAAUAGAAUAUGUUAACACAGAUUUGAUUUGAUUUGAUUUUAUUGAGAUCCCCAUUAGCUGCUACACCUGGAAGCAGCUACUCUUCCUGGGGUCCAUUAAAAUAAUCAAAUGUACAUAAAAUAAAACUAAAUUACAAAUAAUAU